rnacentral:rRNA from 1 species
CGAAAUCUGACCUCAAAUCAGGUAGGACUACCCGCUGAACUUAAGCAUAU